rnacentral:rRNA from 1 species
CCUACGGGAGGCAGCAGUGAGGAAUAUUGGUCAAUGGACGAGAGUCUGAACCAGCCAAGUCGCGUGAAGGAUGACUGCCCUACGGGUUGUAAACUUCUUUUAUAUGGGAAUAAAACGUUCCACGUGUGGCAUUUUGUAUGUACCAUAUGAAUAAGGAUCGGCUAACUCCGUGCCAGCAGCCGCGGUAAUACGGAGGAUCCGAGCGUUAUCCGGAUUUAUUGGGUUUAAAGGGAGCGUAGGUGGAUUGGUAAGUCGGUUGUGAAAGUUUGGGGCUCAACCCUAAAAUUGCAGUUGAAACUGGCAGUGUAGAGUAGAGGAGAGGUAGGCGGAAUGCGCGGUGUAGCGGUGAAAUGCUUAGAUAUCGCGAAGAACUCCGAUUGCGAAGGCAGUUCCCUGGA